CAAUUCAGUCUGAGAUCUCAGCUACUUGAUAAUCUCAUCUCAGUCUCUCACCCUCACCUUUGUUUGAAGCUCUCAUCUCACUUUCACUCACCAAUGCUUCCUGUUUCUGUGUUAGCUGAUCGUUUUGAUUUUCCAUUGGGUCAGUCUUUUGAAAUCAAUCUGCAAUUUCCAACUGGAUUUUUCUGGGUUUUCAAGGAACCCUAGAUCCAGCUUCAAAUUGCUUACAUGUGCUGGUUAAACCCAUAAUUUAACUGGAAGCAAGGUGGGCAGAGGCUUCAAACAAAGAUGCAUGUUUCUCUUCCUUUUGGUUUGCUGAGAUGCAUGACCGUCCAACCAUCUUAGCUAUUGCUGGAAGAGUAUACUUAAGUGUUAUAAUACCCAGGAGUUAAUCAAUCGAACAUUAUGUAUUGAUUAAGCUUGAACAAGUCUUAGUUCUAUAAUUUUGAAAAACAAUGUGCACUAUGUAGGAGAGAUCUGUGACUGAUCUCAAAACAAGAGCUGCUAUCUUCAGGUUUUUGUCCAACCCCGAACACUUUGUAUCCUUGUUGAUGAUAGGAAUGUGCAGGGGAAAAGGAUGUUGUAAAGAACAAAUAUUGCAUGUAAGGCACCAUACUGUCUGGUUAUCCAAAUCCAAAUUCACUGAUUACUGUGGAAAUUUUUCCAUAAAAAUAUGGAGAUAGAUGAAGCGAAAAAUAAUCAUAAAUAGAGGGCAGUGGCCAUUUCCUUCUGAAGUGGAACAUAUGUGUGCUUUCUCUAUUUUAUUAGAUCCUUAAUUCCCACGCAUUCCUAUUAUCAACAAUGAUACGAAAGGCAAUGGGAUUGGACAAAAAUUCGAAGAUAGCAACUCCUGGUUUAUGAUCCGUCAUAGAUGUCUCUUAUAUAGUGGACAUUAUUUUUCACAUUUAUAUAAUUAUGACCUUUUCCAGUUUAGUCGAUAUAUUUCCUUUGAGGGGUUGCUCCUAUGUAUUAUUGAACUUAAAAGUAUAUAAAAUUGUGCGAGGAUUAAUGGCGUAUAA